UACGUAGGGUGCAAGCGUUAUCCGGAAUUAUUGGGCGUAAAGAGCUCGUAGGCGGUUUGUCGCGUCUGCUGUGAAAACUGGAGGCUCAACCUCCAGCCUGCAGUGGGUACGGGCAAACUAGAGUGCGGUAGGGGGGAUUGGAAUUCCUGGUGUAGCGGUGGAAUGCGCAGAUAUCAGGAGGAACACCGAUGGCGAAGGCAGAUCUCUGGGCCGUAACUGACGCUGAGGAGCGAAAGCAUGGGGAGCGAACAGG
rnacentral:rRNA from 1 species